UGUUUUGUAAAUUCCAUUUAGAGUAAUAUAUAUGAUUUAUAAUGUAAAAAUGUUAUAUUAAGAGCUUUUUCAAUCUCUACAUAAUAUUAUAUCUAUAAUUCUAUAACUUGAUGCAGUUUGAUAUAAGUGUAAGAUUCAUAUAUUAACUUACUGGGUUUUUUUUGUUUAUUUAUUUAAAAAACGUUUAAUUUUUUUUGUUGUAGUUGAUCAUGAAUUAUUAUUAGUUUUAUGAUAUUUUAUUUUCUUGAAAAUUGUAUUGUAGCAGAUUAGAAUCUAUAUUAUCUAUUAUAUAUUAUAGUUUCUGUUUUUAUUUUCACCACAAAGAAACAACAACCAUAAAUCUACUUUAUUUUAUUUCAAUAAUUAAUAUGUCAAUUAUUUUUAAAUAAUGGCUUAAACUAAAUAAUAAAGUGAAUUGGGUCAUAAAAUUGGGCUAGAGUAUAUAAAAAAUUAGUCUAUCAAUUAUUUAAAGAAUUGGGCUGGUCCAACUAAUCCAACUAAUUACUCCGGGAAAAAAACGUAUAUGCUAACUCAACUACUUUUUUGCUUUCUCCUAAACUUCUCCGUCGCCCCUUCACUGUCUCUCUCUUUGACACAUGCAAACUGAUGUUGCCUCUCUCUUUGAUCUGAUCUCCGUCUCGAUUAUGACUCAAAAAACUGAUCAAAUACAAAAUCGGAGGAAUCCUAAUCCAUAAUCAUCAGAUUGUUCAUCGAUUUAUUCAAAAAAAGAUAUUGGAAUCAUUGCAAGGUGCCGUAAAGAAGAAAAAGGAGAUGAUUUGAUUAAACGCUUUCUAUCGAAUUAUGACAGAAGCAAAGUUGGGUUUCUAUUUCUCUUAAAUGAUUUCUGUUUGAGAUGAUCCUAACGAAGCAUUAUUCUCUAUUCAUAAUUUUACUAAGAGCAUAAGCAGCGGGUGAUAGUUCAGGUUUACAUCUCUUAAAACUCUUUCUUUGUUCUUUUGAAAUUAUUAUGUGUUUACUAAAAGCAUGUCUUAUCCUUUACACGGUUGAUAUGAGACACAUAGUGAAGGAAAACAAAGACUGAAACAAACGAAUGAAAAGCAUAAACAACUUGUCUUGCAUAUCAGGUUAGUUGGUCGAUACUGCCCACCAGCCUGGGAUACGGUGAAGUUUUCAACAAAUCGCCAUUCUCCAAUUGGUAAGCCUCGCUGAACCCGGAACAUUUGACUUCGUUUGCAUGAAGCAUGAAUCUUACCACCCAGUGAGAAGGAGAAACAAAGUAUUAAAUUCUGUUUCCAGGAAUGAAGCAUCUUCACACGUACUCUCCACCCGGUUUUGAAAGGCUUGACAUCCUUAAGCAGGUAACUAAUUAUGGAGGAUCUCGAUGGCUUUUAAGGAGAUACGGAUGCAAUAUAAGACAUUUGGAAAUAUCUAUAUCUUGGAGAAAAAAAGACGUGGGCUGAAGGUUUAGUUUAGAAAAUUAAGGAAAUCAUAUAUUCUAUAUUGCAACCGAGAUUCAAGCGAGAAUUCAAACUCUCUAGAUUGCAACGGAGAAUCUGGUUAAUUUUGUUAAAUUACGAAAAGGACAUUAAUGAAGUCAAGAAAGAAAACGUUUUGUCCUGCUAA